CAGCCGUAAACUAUGCGCGUUAGGUGUACUGGUGACCACGAGUCACCGGGUGCCGAAGGGAAACCGUGAAACGUGCCGCCUGGGAAGUACGGUCGCAAGGCUGAAACUUAAAGGAAUUGGCUGGGGAGCACCACAACGGGUGGAGCCUGCGGUUUAAUUGGACUCAACGCCGGAAAUCUCACCGGAUAGGACAGACAUAUGAUAGUCGGGCUGAAGACUCUACUUGAUGAUCUGAGAGGUGGUGCAUGGCGUCAGUGACU
rnacentral:rRNA from 1 species